AUACCGGCUGCUCGAGUGAUGGCCACUAUUACUGGGUUUAAAGCGUCCGUAGCUUGACUGUUAGGUCUCUUGGGAAAUCUUUUGGCUUAACCAAAAGGCGUCUAAGAGAUACCGGCAUUCUUGGAACUGGGAGAGGUAAGCCGUACUUCGGGGGUAGGAGUGAAAUCUUGUAAUCCUCGAGGGACGACCUAUGGCGAAGGCAGCUUACCAGAACAGCUUCGACAGUGAGGGACGAAAGCUGGGGGAGCAAACGGGAUUAGAUACCCCGGUAGUCCCAGCCGUAAACAAUGUGCGUUAGGUGUGUCGGUUACCACGCGUAACUGAUGCGCCGAAGAGAAAUCGUGAAACGCACCACCUGGGAAGUACGGUCGCAAGGCUGAAACUUAAAUGAAUUGGCGGGG
rnacentral:rRNA from 1 species